rnacentral:lncRNA from 1 species
GCAGGACAAAAGUCAGGAAGUGUAACUCCUUUUCACAUACCUUUGUGGAUUAGAUGUUCUAACACGUCACAGUGACCAUACUCGGCAGCGACGCCUAGUGGUGUGACUCCAAAUCCAUCUCUCAGGUGGACAUUGCCUCCAUGUUUCAGCAGCAGAGCUACGGUAUCUUUUCGGCCUUGCUUGGCUGCUUCAUGCAUUGCUGACCAUCGCUUGACACAGGGCUGGUCUAGGCUAGUGUUGUGUUUGAUCAGAGUCGACACCAUGUCAUAGGAGCCCUUUUUUACAGCUUGAAAAUGAUUGUUAAAAACAACGACCCAGGAACCUCGUAUGUAAAUCAUGUUCAUCAGGUUUCCCCUAUAGAAACAGGGUUUUUUUCCCUUGCCACAAAAGAUAGCGAAGAAGAGACAGAUUUGGAUCUCACUCGUAGAGUUUACGGCCUAGAGAAGAAGCCUAUGCUGCCUUCUAUUUAAAGAGAGACUCAAAGUCUGGGCCUGUACUGGGAAACAUAGAAGAAGAUGUGAGGCCACAUGGAACAUUCUGGGGUAACCAGGAGGCAGAACGCAGAAAGGAUCUAAAGCCAAGGCAAGGAAAGCAGCUCCCAAUGUGGUAAUGGGAGGAUGAAGACGAACUUUGCCUACUACAUUUGGGAGCAGGCAAGCCAUCCCUGCAGGAGAUGCCUGUUUUUCUCCCUCUCCUUGUCUAAAGUAGAACCUGUUGACAAAUGCCUCUCUCUGAAUUGCCCAACUGUCACUGGCAGCUCUAAUUACAGUGAAUUACCUCAUGCUAGCUGGUGUUAUUGCAGAGCAAACAUCAAGUAAGCUAAACAAACUAAGAGAAACGUGUCCUCAUGGAUCUUCUUGCUCUGACGGCAGUUUUUAUAAUUAGAGAAAAAAUGUAUUAAAAUAAUGAGCCUCUUCCCUCA